CAGGCCAGACUAAACCGACUAUGUAGUAGAUUUGUUCAGUGCUUAGAAAAUUAGAGAAUCGUCAUAUCUAACAUACACACAUUGGGCUGCAGUUAAGAGUAGGACACAUCUCGUUCAGCGAGGGUACGUUCAUUCACGAAGAUAUGCUCUAAAUUUUCCCUUCUAUUUACUAUUAAGAAUUUUCUUCCUGUUGUGAAAAUGAAGUUAAAUUAUAUUGUUUUGUAAUAGUUGGAAUACUUUUGCUCAAGGAUAUAGUUAACUUUUUUUAUCUUUAAAAUUUCAUAUUUUAGUAAUUUUUAUCUUCAUGGGCUUAGUAAAAGGACAUUUUCUUUUUAAGGAUAUUAAUUUGAGAUCUCCAUCUUUUCGUUAUUAUUUUUCGAAUGUCAAUUUGGAACUUGGUGAGACCUUAACCACCUCUACAAGAGACCCUUCUCCAUUUUGCUCCAACUAUAUUUAUUUGCUGAAUUUUCAAUUUUAAAUUGCUUAAUGACUUCAAUGCACAUGCAAAACAGAUGCUUGACUGAUACCAAAGUGCAAGUGACCUUGACUGGUUUAGAUGGUGUAAACAUCAAAAUGGAUCACUGCCCUGUAAAAGAGAGCAAUUCAACAAUUAUACAAGACUAGAACUUUACAAUUGCAGCAAUAAAAGAGUUACAUCACCUCAAACAUGCAAACAAAAUAUUCAAAAAAAUUAAAUAAAAAAGCAACAUAAAAGGCACCAGGGAUCUCACUGUAACCAUCAAUCCUUACCUUUUCCUAGAAAUUCGCAGGCUUAGGGCUAGUCUAGUAAAUCGAAUUCACCGUGUUAAGAAGUCAAGUCUUGAGACCGUAACUCUUAUCAACCCAAAAUCCAUUAACAAAGCUCAACUGAGGUCCUCCACUAUGAGAAAUCGAUCAAAUAAGAAGGAUAUAAAUUAGGAUUGAUUCCCUCAAAUCCAUGGCUGAUUGCUCCAAAGACCCUUUGUGUUUGAAAAAAUUGGGAUCCUAUUCUCCCUUUCAAGUAUGAUCAAAUAAGAAGGAUCUAAUACGGUAAAAAUUCAAGGGUUUAUCAGCGAGAAAAAUGGAAGCAAAUUUCUAGGGUUUAACAGCAGGAUUGGGUGGGGUUUUUUUUAGUAAGAAUCUCUCAUUAGCGAAACAUCUGUGAGAAGUCAUGCGUUUGCCUGAUUUUUUUAACGCAAAUGGAUCUGGACCAGAUCGAG
rnacentral:lncRNA from 1 species